ACUUUUGCUGCCUGCCAAUCCAGGUAUAAAACUCUCAGCUCUUUCUCCAGUACCUUGCCUGCCUGCCUGCCUGCCUCCAGACAUGAUGAUAAUGGACUAAGCCUCUGAACUGAAAACCCUCUGUUAAGGAAUGGGCUGAGAACAGAGGCCCGAAAGAGCCACAUAGAUCAAGAUGGGAAAUGGCAGCAGAAGAUGGCUACAAACCCACUGGAAGUAAAGAAACAAAACAUAAUGUUAAUUAGUAUUUACUAUUUUCAAAAAAAUAUGUUCUCAUGUUGUUCUUUUUAUCAGGGGAAAGAAUUUAUGUAUUAUUUGUGAUAUGACCUUUACAAGGCAGCUAGUAUCAGCUUUGGUUUAUAAUUAGCAAAGGGUAGAUGAGGAGAGUUCAGAAUUUGAUAGUGGACACACAAGCAGCAAGAAGCAAGUCUAGGUGAUUAUUCAUUGUUGGAAUGCUUUACUCUUUCUAUAUUGAGGCAAUGACAGGGAGAUUUGAAAUUUCCCAAGUGAAAUAAUAUCAUUCAGAUAGGGGAAGAGUGGCAGAGAAUUGAGCAUUUUCGUGGGGAUUUAAUAUUUGAAUGAAUAGAAAUAUCUUUCCAUCCAGGUUUUUUCUCUAGGAACAAUGGCUAAAGAUUAUAUCUAAUUUACUUAUUUUAGUGUUAUGAAGACUUUUCCUUUUUAUGCACAUCAAUUUUAUAAAUAUAAUAUUGCUCAAAUAUAUCAGUUAAAUAUGUAGAUGAGUGGACUUGUUUAUAUGAUAUAGAACCUUACCACCUACUGCUUCCUAGGACUUAAAGUUCCAUAAUUAGACAUGCAUAUGACUUUCUGCUGGAACACAAACACUCAUCAACUCCCAUUUACAGUAAUUGUACCUUUUUGUGAAUGACUUUGUCAUUUGUUUCCAGGAAACUGCUUUCUAUCUCUGCAAGGAGCAUCCUUAUAAUGAAGUGGGGACAUAAUGUUGGUGAGAGAUUGUCAGGAUGAGAAAGAAGAGGCUGGACGAUCAAGACUUUGCUUUUCUGCUUAGGCAGUAUUCUGCUAUAUCAUUUUACAAAAGGACAUUGUCAGAGAAUGGACUUCUAGCUAAUGGCAUUACACUUGUAAGUUCAACAAGGUUGAUAUUUUUCAAGUAGUCAGCUACAUGAACGUGUACGUGUUGUAUGGACCUGAGGGUCAGUAAUUAGACCUGCCUGUACUGCGUUAUGCUUCCUCUGCAUGAGUGGAAUCCCUUUGUUUAUGCCACAUGAGUGGUGUCACCUCUCCUGAUACCCUAAGUAGAGCUAUUUGUACCAUGAGGCAAUAAAGGUAACUCUUGUUCCAAUCCA
rnacentral:lncRNA from 1 species